rnacentral:rRNA from 1 species
ACUCAAAGGAAUUGACGGGGGCUCGCACAAGUGGUGGAGCAUGUGGUUUAAUUCGACGCUAAGCGAGGAACCUUACCCGGUCUUGACAUCUCUGGAACCCUGUAGAAAUACGGGGGUGCCUUCGGGAGCCAGAUGACAGGUGAUGCACGGUCGUCGUCAGCUCGUGCCGUGAGGUGUUCCGUUCAGUCGGCAAACGAGCGCAACCCCUACCCUGUGUUGUAUUCUCACGGGGGACAGCCCCACUCAGUGGGGAGGAAGGUGGGGAUGACGUCAGAUCAGCGUGUCUCUUACGACCGGGGCGACACACGUGCUACAAUGGCAGUCACAACGGGUUGCAACAGCGCAAGCUAGAGCUAAUCCCUAAAAUACUGCCUCAGUUCGGAUUGCGGGCUGCAACUCGCCCGCAUGAAGCCGGAAUCACUAGUAAACGCGCAUCAGCCAUGGCGCGUUGAAUACGUUCUCGAGCCUUGUACACACCGCCCGU